rnacentral:ribozyme from 1 species
UGCCCUGCAACUCCUAUUCCUACCCCCUCGUGGUACCGGCCGGAAACUAUGAGCAACCAAAGAUCGGGUAACCAACCCCAGUGGGAACUUUGGUCAUUGGCUGACAGGGAAGG